GCCUUUAUAGCUUAGUGGUAGAGCAUCUUCUUGGUAAGGAGAAAGUAUGGGUUCAAUUCCCAUUAAAGGCU
rnacentral:tRNA from 2 species